rnacentral:rRNA from 1 species
UACGAAGGGGGCUAGCGUUGCUCGGAAUCACUGGGCGUAAAGCGCACGUAGGCGGAUUGCUAAGUCAGGGGUGAAAUCCCGGAGCUCAACUUCGGAAUUGCCUUUGAUACUGUCAAUCUCGAGUCCGGGAGAGGUGAGUGGAAUUCCUAGUGUAGAGGUGAAAUUCGUAGAUAUUAGGAAGAACACCAGUGGCGAAGGCGGCUCACUGGCCCGGUACUGACGCUCAUGUGCGAAAGCGUGGGGAGCAAACAGG